AACUUCAUCUUCUUCACUCACACCCUCACCAUUAACACACAAUAAGGAUCCCAUGCAGAAGGCCUGAGAAGACUCAAUUUUAUCAAUACACACAUAGAAACAUACAGAAGAUGAUUCUCAAGGACGAAAACACAACACAGAAACCUUACGAUUUCCCUUCUCUGGGACACCAUUAGAGGUCCCGUUUCAUUCAUACUAUCGUCAUUCGUCACCGU
rnacentral:lncRNA from 1 species